ACUCCUACGGGAGGCAGCAGUGGGGAAUAUUGCACAAUGGGCGCAAGCCUGAUGCAGCCAUGCCGCGUGUAUGAAGAAGGCCUUCGGGUUGUAAAGUACUUUCAGCAGUGAGGAAGGUGGGUAUGUUAAUAGCAUAUUCAUUUGACGUUAGCUGCAGAAGAAGCACCGGCUAACUCCGUGCCAGCAGCCGCGGUAAUACGGAGGGUGCGAGCGUUAAUCGGAAUUACUGGGCGUAAAGCGCAUGCAGGUGGUUUGUUAAGUCAGAUGUGAAAGCCCGGGGCUCAACCUCGGAAUUGCAUUUGAAACUGACAAACUAGAGUACUGUAGAGGGGGGUAGAAUUUCAGGUGUAGCGGUGAAAUGCGUAGAGAUCUGAAGGAAUACCGGUGGCGAAGGCGGCCCCCUGGACAGAUACUGACACUCAGAUGCGAAAGCGUGGGGAGCAAACAGGAUUAGAUACCCUGGUAGCACAGAG
rnacentral:rRNA from 1 species